rnacentral:misc_RNA from 1 species
CGCCGCACCACCGACCACACCGCCUCCGCGGGCGCCGCCACGCGCUGCACCACCGCGGAGCAGCACCGCCCGGGCCCCGGCGCCGCGUGCUCGUGGUGCCGCGCCGCCUCCGCGGGCACCUCGCCGUCGUGCGCCCCGCACCGAGUCCCCGUCCCCGCGCUCGCGCCAACAGCCGCGCCCGCCUCCGCCGCGCACCCGACGCCGCGCCCGUGGUGCUGGUAAGGCAUGCUGCCGGGGCUGGACGCCUGGAGGCACGGCAUCUUUGCUUCUCCUAGUUAGCUGCCUUUCUUCGCCUGCUGGUCUCGUGUGCGGUGGAAUUUUCCGGCGACGGGUUGGGGUUGGGGAUGCUCAAGAGAGGAUGAUCGGGGUACUUGCAUUUAUAUAUAUGCAAAGUGCCACAACUUGUCCUGCAGCUUCGUACUGGCAUUUAUAUAUGUCGCCAGUUGUGUGCUCACUUUAAUUGUGCAUCCUCUUUAAUUAAUUCAACUAAUCACUUUAAGUGGGG